AGCGAACGCUGGCGGCAGGCCUAACACAUGCAAGUCGAACGAACCUUUCGGGGUUAGUGGCGGACGGGUGAGUAACACGUGGGAACGUGCCUUUAGGUUCGGAAUAACUCAGGGAAACUUGUGCUAAUACCGAAUGUGCCCUUCGGGAGAAAGAUUAAUCGCCUUUAGAGCGGCCCGCGUCUGAUUAGCUAGUUGGUUGAGGUAAUGGCUCACCAAGGCGACGAUCAGUAGCUGGUCUGAGAGGAUGAUCAGCCACAUUGGGACUGAGACACGGCCCAAACUCCUACGGGAGGCAGCAGUGGGGAAUCUUGCGCAAUGGGCGAAAGCCUGACGCAGCCAUGCCGCGUGAAUGAUGAAGGUCUUAGGAUUGUAAAAUUCUUUCACCGGGGACGAUAAUGACGGUAACCGGAGAAGAAGCCCCGGCUAACUUCGUG
rnacentral:rRNA from 1 species